rnacentral:rRNA from 1 species
GACGAAGGGGGCUAGCGUUGUUCGGAAUCACUGGGCGUAAAGGGCGUGUAGGCGGUCCGCUAAGUCUGAUGUGAAAGCCCGAGGCUUACCCUCGGAAGUGCAUUGGAGACUGGCGGACUUGAGUCCCGGAGAGGAGGGUGGAAUUCCCGGUGUAGCGGUGAAAUGCGUAGAGAUCGGGAAGAACACCAGUGGCGAAAGCGCUCUACUGGGCCUCAUCUGACACUGAGGGACGAAAGCUAGGGGAGCGAAAGGG